CGGAGCAGGCGCGAAUUCUCUCCAAUGUCCCAUUUGGUGACAGGGGAACUCGGAGUGCUUACGGUUUAGCCGUCGGCUUUUGCCAUGUGUAAAUAGCAUGGCGAAUAACUGGUGGGUAAUACUGGUGCCAUCCGCCGCGGUAACACCAUCGCCACGAGUGGCUAUCGCGAUUAUUGGGCCUAAAGCGUCCGUAGUCGGUUCUGUGCAUCUUCUGUGAAAUCGCAACGCUCAACGUUGCGGCAUGCGGGAGACACGGCAGAACUUGAGACCGGGAGGCGUGUAGGGUAUUCCACGGGGACCGGUAAAAUGGUAUAAUCCGUGGAGGACCACCUGUGGCGAAGGCGCUACACGAGAACGGAUCUGACGAUGAGGGACGAAAGCCAGGGGAGCAAACCGGAUUAGAUACCCGAGUAGUCCUGGCCGUAAACGCUGUCUGCUAGGUGUUGCACCGACUUGAGUCGUUGCAGUAUCGGAGCGAAGGUAUUAAGCAGACCGCCUGGGAAGUACGGUCGCAAGACUGAAACUUUAAGGAAUUGGCGGGGGAGCAC
rnacentral:rRNA from 1 species